GACGGCAGCCCGCUCCUCAUUCUGCCAAAGAGUGUGCAGCUCUGCGGGAUGAAGCCAGCAUAAGGGUGAACAGCUUUGGCCUGACCUUCUUCUUGACGAGGGACAUGACGCCGAUUCGAGUGAGGACCGGCUGGCGACACAAACCCUCCCUCGGGACGCCGUCCGCGAACGUCUCAGCACCGUCGGCCACAGGCUCACACAAGUGACGCAUAAAGAGCGACACACUUGCCCCUGAGGUCUCUCACCAGCCACUGAGAGGAGAAAGCGUCCUGAGACGGCAUCCCCCAGCGCAUCACUGCGUUCAGGAAAGCCUUUCGCUGGCGUGUGUUAAAACCCAGCACCUAUGGUUGGAAAUGACUGUAUAUUAUGGAUAGCCUUGAAAUUUUAAAAUAACUAAAAAUAAUACCAAGGAGAGAAAGUAUACUAAGCAAAUAUCCAUGUAUUUCUUAAAUUUCACCAGAGCUUUUCUCAAUAGUCCUGACUGCCUAAUAAUAGCAAAAUAAACAUGUGUGGGUCAUUAUAAUCAUGUCCACCACCACUAUCUGGAUGAUGAA